UGAAAUGUCAAUUCCCGUACGAUCAUCGAAGUUAAGCAACGUCGAGUCGGAUCAGUACCGAGAUGGGUGACCGUUUAGGAAUACCAGGUGGUGUAA